rnacentral:rRNA from 1 species
GACGAACGUUGGCGGCGUGCUUAAUACAUGCAAGUCAACUGAAGCAGUGGUAGCAAUAUCGCUGUGUCGGUGGCGCACGGGUGAGUAACACGUAGGUAAUCUGCCUUCAGGUCUUGCAUAACUCCGGGAAACCGGGGCUAAUAGCAGAUUAUGCACCGCCUCGACAUCGAGACAGUUGUUAAAUCUCUGGCGCCUGAAGAUGAGCCUGCGUCUGAUUAGCUAGUUGGCGGGGUAACGGCCCACCAAGGCAACGAUCAGUAGCUGGUCUGAGAGGAGGAUCAGGCACACUGGAACUGAGACAGGGACUAGAAUACGACGGGAGGCAGCAGUAAGGAAUAUUGCGGAAUGGGAGAAAUAAUGAAGCAGCAACGGAGCGUGAGGGACGAAGGGCUGGUGCUUGUAAACCUGUGUAGUAAGAGAAAAAAAUCCCAAUCUAUGGGACAUGAUGGUAUCUCAAAAGUAAGCCCCGGCUAACUACGUG